UACGUAGGGUGCAAGCGUUGUCCGGAAUUAUUGGGCGUAAAGCGUGCGCAGGCGGUUUUGUAAGUCUGUCGUGAAAGCCCCGGGCUCAACCUGGGAAUUGCGAUGGAGACUGCAAGGCUUGAAUCUGGCAGAGGGGGGUAGAAUUCCACGUGUAGCAGUGAAAUGCGUAGAGAUGUGGAGGAACACCGAUGGCGAAGGCAGCCCCCUGGGUCAAGAUUGACGCUCAUGCACGAAAGCGUGGGGAGCAUACAGG
rnacentral:rRNA from 1 species